CAGUGCCCUUUAAUCACUGACCCCAUGUGAGUCCUGUCCACAUGAUCACACCCACGUGGGAUUGUGGAGAGACGGCACCAGUGGAGCUGGGGCAGAGAGGGACUCUGCUCUCUGGAGGUCCUUUCUCGAAAGCUCUCAUGCAGCAAGCCAUUUUUUCUGAGGUUGUCAUUUACUGCUCCGCCUAACUGCUACGGUAGUGCGGAGCCGACCUAAUGAUGCAGCAAUUAAAAGCGAU
rnacentral:lncRNA from 1 species